AUGGCCUAUCUGGCUGUGACAUUUGUAACCCAAUUGACCAACAGGGUUGAUUCAGCUGAUCUGGCUAUCUAUGCUGGUGUCUCCUUCCUCUCUCAUAGGAUGAGAGGGACUAUUGAAGCUGCUGAAUGCUGGGUCAAAAAGAAUGAUCUUCCCGGGAUACAAGAGGACUGGUCUUCAUUUGUGAAUAUAUGAGUAACUAUGCUCUCCUGUUGUAAUUUCUAAACAAGCUCUCAAUAUCCACUCUAAGGUGUGUGAAUGUUCCCACCUUCUAAAAUGGAGAGAAAGUUUUUUUUUGUUUUUUUUUUU
rfam:Cricetulus griseus cell line CHO-K1, whole genome shotgun sequence.